AUGAACUUGAAUGACAUCAUCCAGAUAAUAGUCUUUUUCUUACUGUACUUAGAAUUGUAGGGAAUAUCCUAAUAUUUUUUAGAUAAUCUGCCUUUGGGACUGAAAAAAACCUGUAAAUCUUAUCCUGCUUCACUUGGUAAUUAUUAAUAUGAUCAUUAUUUGCAGUACAAGGAACAGAGAUAUAGCCACAGAGUUUUAUUUCAGAAAUAGGAGAUAUUGGCUGCAAAGCUGUGGUUUAUCUGGCAAGGAUGGAACAGAGCUUUUCUAUCUGCACCACCUGUCUGCUGCCACCACCAGCUCCAGGUCCAGCCUUUGUAGAAAGGUCAGACCACAAACAGGAUGUCAAAUUCUUACCUACAUCUUCCUCUUUUGGAUAUUUAAAGUUCUCACAAGUUCAAGCUUGUCCUGAUAUCACAGCAGGCAGUGACUUGUACAGGUUUGGAGCUGGAAUGUACAUUGGCUAUUGCUAUAUGCUGCCUUCCAGGCACAUAGUUAAGUGGCUUUUCCUCUUGCUCAUGGCUGUUCAUGAUCUCAUCUUCUAGAGUCUCAUGGGCUGGAGCAGUGGAUACAUUUCUUUUCACCUGUAUAAACAUCACAAGCAUAUCCUUUUCCUUCAUAGCUGCAGGUUUGUGAAUAGUUUCAGUCCAGAAGUCAGAGCUGCACAGAGUCUUAUAAUUCUCAUGAGCUGUCUAACUUUCUUUUAUUGGGCAUACUUCAUUUUAUCCUUUUUAUACAGGUUCCAUGAUGACUCAUCAUUCCAUUUUAGUAAAUAUUAAAACAUGUCUAAUGCUCAGUUAUGCUAUUCUCAGUCCUUUUGUCCUGAUGAACAGUGAUGUCCCUAUUGCUAAAUGCUUGAGUUCUCAUUGA
rnacentral:lncRNA from 1 species